UGGGUUUCCAGAUACAUCAGCCCUUAAGUUACCAACAGGAAGAAAAUGAAGAGACUAAAGAGAACGAGGGUCACAGAGAGUACAGGAACAAAGUGUGCGGGGAGUGAGGGGAAGGCAGAGCCCAGGAGUGCGGACGAGGCGGCGGGAAGGGAGCGGAACCGAAGCCGAGGAGCGCGGGGCGGCGCCACCACAGGGAGGGACAUCGAGGAGGACGCUUUCUCUUUUAGGAUGACGAUAUGCCUGGCCAGAAAGUCACAGUUGCCAGCCUCCCUUGACCAAUGAAGAGAAAACCUAUUGAUGUUCUGGGGAACAGAGUGCUACAGAACACAGUUUGGAAAAUCUUGGGAUCUGCCACUUGUGCAGGACUCGGUGAAGGAGGCUCAUCUCUGCUUCAAGCGUCUUCAGCCGGGGGGAGCCUGACUGUGGCCUGGAGGGUCCUUUCAAGAUAGCUCACUUGUAGGAUUGGGAAGUUGGAGUCAUGCUGGGGACUCUGCCGGGGCUACAGGCCUGGGGCCUCAGUUCCUCCCUACGUGAGCCUCUCUGUGGGAUGCUUGGCCUCCCUCCUAGCAUGGAGGCUGAAUUCCAAGUGAGUUACAAGCCUACCCAGACUCAAAGGAGCGGCGUUAGAUUCUACUUGAUGAGGGAACAAAACAUUCUAGAAGAGCACAG